UGAGGGAUGAAGGCCUUCGGGUUGUAAACCUCUUUCAGCAGGGAAGAAGCGCAAGUGACGGUACCUGCAGAAGAAGCGCCGGCUAACUACGUGCCAGCAGCCGCGGUAAUACGUAGGGCGCAAGCGUUGUCCGGAAUUAUUGGGCGUAAAGAGCUCGUAUGCGGUUUGUCGCGUCUGGUGUGAAAACUCGAGGCUCAACCUCGAGCUUGCAUCGGGUACGGGCAGACUAGAGUGCCGUAGGGGAGACUGGAAUUCCUGGUGUAGCGGUGGAAUGCACAGAUAUCAGGAGGAACACCGAUGGCGAAGGCAGGUCUCUGGGCCGCAACUGACGCUGAGGAGCGAAAGCAUGGGGAGCGAACAGGAUUAGAUACCCUGGUAGUCCAUGCCGUAAACGUUGGGCACUAGGUGUGGGGCUCAUUCCACGAGUUCCGUGCCGCAGCAAACGCAUUAAGUGCCCCGCCUGGGGAGUACGGCCGCAAGGCUAAAACUCAAAGGAAUUGACGGGGGCCCGCACAAGCGGCGGAGCAUGCGGAUUAAUUCGAUGCAANNNGAAUAACCUUACCAAGGCUUGACAUGCACGGGAAGCCACCAGAGAUGGUGGUCUCUUUGGACACUCGUGCACAGGUGGUGCAUNGUUGUCGUCAGCUCGUGUCGUNNNAUGNNNNGUUAAGUCCCGCAACGAGCGCAACCCUCGUCCCAUGUUGCCAGCGGGUUAUGCCGGGGACNNNUGGGAGACUGCCGG
rnacentral:rRNA from 1 species